AUCUGGCGGCAGGAGUGGCAGCUACCGCAGGGUUCGCCUCCCUGGAGGUGGCGGCAGUUCAGGGCUGUAGCCAGGUA
rnacentral:tRNA from 1 species